rnacentral:lncRNA from 1 species
GGGUAAAUGAAUAAACAAAUUGUAUUUACUACCAGAUUUUGAGAACAUUUAGUUACUUAAAUGAACAAAAUCAAACUUAUGCAAGUAGAAAUAAUAGCUAAUAUAUGAAAGACCAUGAACAUUUAUAUGAAUUUAAAGUAUAAACCUUGAGCCCAAAAUAACAUUCCAAUGAACUGUAAGGUAAUGAAAUGAUUAGUUAUUGCUCUUUGUAAGCUAGUGAUAACAAUGCAUAUUUUGUAGCUUAAUAAGGGGAUAUUGUAACCUUGGCCCCUUUUCUCUCUCUCUUUCUCCCCUUCCCAGUUGUCAUGAGUUGAACAAUUUGCUCUACCAUGCACUCCUGCCAUAAUGUUUUUGGGAGGAAAAUGUCAAUACUUUUUAUGUAGUUCAUCUGUGAGCACUAUUGAAGGUUUCUGAUACCUUUGAUACCAACUUUUCUAAGCACAGAUAUGCUAAGAGCAUGGUACAGAACCUGACAGGAAAAAAAGUAGAUUCAUUUAAUUUACAGAGCCUGCUAACAAAGAUAAUAAGCAGCAGUAGCAAAAGUGAAAAUAUCAGCUCCUGUCCUUUAAUAUGUGUUUAUUUGACUUGAGAUCACAUCUAGAUCAAAUUGUUUCUUGACAUCUAUAAUUUUCCAUCUCCAUGUAGUUUUGUACUUCUACCAUUUAUAGUUGAUUCUCCAGUCCUAUUUUCCAUUUUCUUUAUUGAAUUGUAAUUUCCUUAGGAGCAGAAACUUUGCUAUUUAUUUUAUUUGUUUGUCUCCAAAGCAUCCUAAAUUGUGAUUGCUCAAUAAAGGUUUCCCAAAUGGCUAAGUAAUGCUAGCAUUUCAGUUCACUUGUCAAAAAAUAAUUAUAUGAAUGAGGUUAUUCAUUUUCUUGACAGCUAAAUCUCCUGAUGGAAUAGUCUAGUGGAUAGCUUUGUUUUUAUACGAAUCUCAAAAGCAAAAAAUCUACAAUUAAUAAAUGUAUAUUGUUAAUCCAAUAAGUAAUUUGUAAUUUACUGGUUUUGAAGUAAAAUUCCAGUUGGUAUUUUAAGGGUAAUAAAGUCCAUUACUUUCCUAGGUUUGAGCCUAUCUGGGUUCUGAUAGGAUUGAGGACAGAAAAAAGGACAAAAAAG